rnacentral:rRNA from 1 species
UACGUAGGGUGCAAGCGUUGUCCGGAAUUAUUGGGCGUAAAGAGCUCGUAGGUGGUUUGUCGCGUUGUUCGUGAAAACUCACAGCUUAACUGUGGGCGUGCGGGCGAUACGGGCAGACUAGAGUACUGCAGGGGAGACUGGAAUUCCUGGUGUAGCGGUGGAAUGCGCAGAUAUCAGGAGGAACACCGGUGGCGAAGGCGGGUCUCUGGGCAGUAACUGACGCUGAGGAGCGAAAGCGUGGGUAGCGAACAGG